UACGGGGGGGGCUAGCGUUGUUCGGAAUUACUGGGCGUAAAGGGUUCGUAGGUGGCCAACUAAGUCAGACGUGAAAUCCCUCAGCUUAACUGGGGAACUGCGUCUGAUACUGGAUGGCUUGAGUGCAGGAGAGGAACGCGGAAUUCCUGGUGUAGCGGUGAAAUGCGCAGAUAUCGGAAGGAACAUCAGUGGCGAAAGCGACUUCCUGGACCAAUACUGACGCUCAUGUGCGAAAGCGUGGGGAGCAAACAGGAUUAGAAACCCCAGAU
rnacentral:rRNA from 1 species